rnacentral:rRNA from 1 species
UGUACACGCUGUGACUAGCAUAUCAAUAAGCGGAGGAAAAGAAACUAACAAGGAUUCCCUUAGUAACGGCGAGUGAAGCGGGAAGAGCUCAAAUUUGAAAUCUUGCAAGGUUUACCUUUCACGAAUUGUAGUUUAAAGAAGUGUUUUCUGUUACGAUCGUAAUAUAAGUUCUUUGGAAUAGGACAUCACAGAGGGUGAGAAUCCCGUCUAUGAUUGCGAUUUGUAGCUUUGUGAUACACGUUCAAAGAGUCGGGUUGUUUGGGAAUGCAGCCCAAAACGGGAGGUAAAUUUCUUCUAAGGCUAAAUAUUGGCGAGAGACCGAUAGCGAACAAGUACCGUGAGGGAAAGAUGAAAAGAACUUUGAAAAGAGAGUUAAAUAGUACGUGAAAUUGUCAAAAGGGAAGCGUUUAACACCAGUGUUGUUUUCUGAAAAUCAACCUCUGUUAGCUUUAUGCAUAGUUUGUUUAGACCUAAUCAGCUAUCUUUCAUGUUCUAUUGUUUGCAGUGGUGCACUUUUCAGUUUACAGGUCAACAUCAGUUUUUUUUACCGUAAAAAAGUUAAAGAAAGGUAGCUCAUGGCUCCGGUCGUGAGUGUUAUAGUCUUUUUCCUAUGCGGUAGGAGAGACUGAGGUCUGCAGUGUAGGCUAUUUGGCUAGAUACUCAGGUGCUAUGUGAUACCAUUUCAUAAACAACUUGUUGAUUAUGUUUUGUCUAUUGCAUACUCGCUUGUACUAUCAUACCUACGCUUAGGAUGUUGAGUAGCGACAUACGCAC